rnacentral:lncRNA from 1 species
CACAUUCUCUGUAUUCCCCUCUCCUAAGGUCUCUGACACUGUUGUUGAGCCUUACAACGCCACACUCUCUGUUCACCAGCUUGUUGAGAAUGCAGACGAGUGUAUGGUUCUUGACAAUGAAGCCCUUUAUGACAUUUGCUUCCGAACACUGAAACUCACUACUCCAAGCUGUAAGUCACUUAUAGUGUCUUAAUUCUACUUUUACUUGUGUUUUUCUUUCUUCUGAAACUGAUCAAUACCUGUUUUUAAUCAGUUGGGGACCUGAAUCACCUGAUUUCCGCCACCAUGAGUGGGGUAACUUGCUGCCUUCGCUUCCCCGGU